rnacentral:rRNA from 1 species
AUUGAACGCUGGCGGAAUGCUUUACACAUGCAAGUCGAACGGCAGCAUAGGUGCUUGCACCUGAUGGCGAGUGGCGAACGGGUGAGUAAUACAUCGGAACGUGCCCAGUCGUGGGGGAUAACGUAGCGAAAGUUACGCUAAUACCGCAUACGAUCUAAGGAUGAAAGCGGGGGACCGUAAGGCCUCGCGCGAUUGGAGCGGCCGAUGUCAGAUUAGGUAGUUGGUGAGGUAAAGGCUCACCAAGCCGACGAUCUGUAGCUGGUCUGAGAGGACGACCAGCCACACUGGGACUGAGCCACGGCCCAGACUCCUACGGGAGGCAGCAGUGGGGAAUUUUGGACAAUGGACGCAAGUCUGAUCCAGCCAUUCCGCGUGCAGGACGAAGGCCUUCGGGUUGUAAACUGCUUUUGUACGGAACGAAAAAGCUCUUACUAAUACUAGGAGUCCAUGACGGUACCGUAAGAACAAGCACCGGCUAACUACGUGCCAGCCGCCGCGGUAA